AUUGAACGCUGGCGGCAGGCCUAACACAUGCAAGUCGAACGAGUGGCGGACGGGUGAGUCAUGUCUGGGAAACUGCCUGAUGGUGGGGGAUAACUACUGGAAACGGUAGCUAAUACCGCAUACCAUCGGAUGUGCCCAGAUGGGGUUAGCUAGUAGGUGGGGUAAAGGCUCACCUAGGCGACGAUCCCUAGCUGGUCUGAGAGGAUUACCAGCCACACUGGAGCUGGUACACGGUCCAUACUCCUACGGGAGGCAGCAGUGGGGAAUAUGUGACAAUGGGCGCGAGCCUGAUGCAGCCAUGCCGCGGGUAUGAAGAAGGCCCUCGGGUUGUAAAGUACUUUCAGCGGGGAGGCGUUACCCGCAUAAGAAGCACCGGCUAACUACGUGCCAGCCGCCGCGGUAAUAC
rnacentral:rRNA from 1 species